rnacentral:misc_RNA from 1 species
AAGUCGUAACAAGGUUUCCGUAGGUGAACCUGCGGAAGGAUCAUUAAUGAAUCAAAUUCGGUCUUCUGUGCUGGUGGCAACACAUGUGCACGUUGAUCGUAAUUCCAUCCUCCUCCCAACCGUCCAUGUGUGUUUGGUCGACCUCGGUCGAAGAGUUGUGGCCCUUGGCCUCGAUUCGUUCCAGAUGCACCUUGGUUAUUUCACCCACUCUGGGUACUAGAAACAAAGAACAUUUUAUAUAAACUAUACAACUUUCAACAACGGAUCUCUUGGCUCUC